UACAGAGGUCCCGAGCGUUGUUCGGAUUCAUUGGGUGUAAAGAGCUCGUAGGCGGUGUGUCGCGUCGGCCGUGAAAACCUGCAGCUUAACUGUGGGCUUGCGGUCGAUACGGGCAUCACUGGAGUUCGGCAGGGGAGACUGGAAUUCCUGGUGUAGCGGUGAAAUGCGCAGAUAUCAGGAGGAACACCGGUGGCGAAGGCGGGUCUCUGGGCCGAUACUGACGCUGAGGAGCGAAAGCGUGGGGAGCGAACAGG
rnacentral:rRNA from 1 species